rnacentral:rRNA from 1 species
CCUACGGGAGGCUGCAGUGGGGAAUAUUGGACAAUGGGCGAAAGCCUGAUCCAGCCAUGCCGCGUGUGUGAAGAAGGCCUUCGGGUUGUAAAGCACUUUCAGUGGGGAAGAAAGCCUUGGGGCUAAUACCCUCGAGGAAGGACAUCCCCCACAGAAGAAGCACCGGCUGAACUCCGUGCCAGCAGCCGCGGUAAUACGGCGGGUGCGAGCGUUAAUCGGAAUUACUGGGCGUAAAGCGCGCGUAGGCGGUCUGAUAAGCCGGUUGUGAAAGCCCCGGGCUCAACCUGGGAACGGCAUCCGGAACUGUCAGGCUAGAGUGCAGGAGAGGAAGGUAGAAUUCCCGGUGUAGCGGUGAAAUGCGUAGAGAUCGGGAGGAAUACCAGUGGCGAAGGCGGCCUUCUGGACUGACACUGACGCUGAGGUGCGAAAGCGUGGGUAGCAAACAGGAUUAGAUACCCCGGUAGUC